CCACCCCGCAACACCCCAUUUUUUCACCUUCUUCACUGAAAAGAUCACAACAAUGGUGUGAUUACAUUUGCAUUUUAAUUUUACAGAUGGGUGGUUCAAGCAAGCAGCAAAAAGAGCACAGAAAAAGUUCAUGCCAUUAGCAGCAAAGAGAUCCAAGGUAGCAAGAUCUAACAUCGAGAAAAAGAGGAAGCAGCAGCACGACGGCAAACAAUUUCAAAGGAGAAAAGCUUGGAAGUAAAGUGAAGAAUAGUUUUCUUCUUUCCAAUUUUGUCAAAAGAAAAAAAUGCAGAGAAGAACCUCGUAAAUACGCCCAGCAUCCAACUUAUAGCAAUGCAGAAGUUGUGACUGAAGAAGCGUCAGGGGAUCGAUUAUUCGAGAUCAAAUGAGCCUUGAAUCAAGUCGAAUUGAUCAAGAUUAAAUAACAAAAUGAUGGCUUGGCAAGAAACCCUAGCAUUCAAAUCAAAGAUUCAAAGAUGGUAAAGCGUCAACAGAAGAACAAAUCUGUACUUUCCAAUCAAAUUCCUAAAGCGAUACAAAAGAAGAAAAAUCCUAACAUUAAAAUCGAAGCUCCAAUGAUGGGAGAUCACAAACAGAAGAAGAAUAAAUCAAUACUUUCCAAUCGAUUUCUUAAAGGACAAAUUAAAUAGUUGCGGGGCCGUCAAAGAAAGCAAAACUGAUGGAUAUUGUUGAUCUGAACUGAGUUGAUGGUGCACCAAUUUAAUGAAGCAUUUUAUUCGUAAACUUAAAUAAUUCUCACUACUCUAUAAUUUGUUAAAAUUUUUCACUAAUUCUCACAAUAAAAUAGUUACCAACAUCUAUAUUUAUAAUAGU